AUGCAACCAUGCUCCGCCACCCCACCCUCCCACAAACACACCCCUGUUGGGAUAUUGGCAAGUUGUCAUGACGACAGGGAUGUUCUCCUGAUGAAGUCUCGCUUAGCGCUGUCCAAUCAGAUCGUGGAGCUACAACCGCAGCGUGAACAGGGGAGGACGCACCUAUUCCAGUUGCACAAUGCUGAGAAAGGACAGGCGAAACCAUGGACCACCAACGGGAAAUUGGCAAUCCGGGGGAGGCUGUCAAUGGGCUGCCAUGGUUCGACAAUACACAAACAGCGGGGGUCGUGGAUACAGGGGCUGCCAGGGUACAAAGGGAGGCGUCAAUGGCGAACCGCGGGAGAGAGCUGUCGACAGGGUGGCUCAGCUGGCAGUGCCCAGGGCUCCCGUGGGGCCGAGAGCUGCCUGAAGUGGAGAGUCAAGGACGCUGGAGGAUGACAAGGGACAGCUGGAGAAGCGGAGGACUCUUCACUCUCUGAGCAGACACUAUGGACGGCAGUCAACAGUGAGAGACACCAAUUGAUGUUCAGUGUCUUCGCCUCACCCAUUUGUUCAAUCACCAAGCCCCCAUAGGACUCACACAAGUUUGUGUUUGCAUUAGAUUUGAUUUAUGUACGUAUGAAGUGUUUACAGCGAGUGCCUUAUGUUCUUUUUCAUUCCAGCUUCUCACCUUUUUCUUUAAGUGUCCAUGCUUUCAUAUAAUUCUAACUCAGGACACUGAUUCCACAGUAUUCCCCUUUUUGUGAACCUUUUGCUUUCAAUUAGUGCAUCCGGUCUCAUCAGUGACAGCUCCCCCCUUCCCGUCCUCAUGCCAGUGGUUUCCCAACAGAUCUCUGGCCUGUCAGGCUUACCUCACAAAUCUUCAGGAAAGGGGAUUCCACCGCCGCUCACAACUGUGUAGGAGGUCAACGCUUUAACAAGUCGUUCCCUGCGAAUGAGGUUUGAGGGUUUGGCGAGUUGACGCACGGAUGGAUGGAUGCAUGGAUUGAUAGAUGGAUGCUGGGAAAUUUGUAGAGUUUGAGGAUCUGUGUGUAGCAGCCACGGGAAGGAGAAAGUUGUGGCUUGGCCAAUGCGCGUCGCCGUUUCCGGAGCUGCUGUCACUCCUCACAUUAACCGACCAGAAGGCACGUCGCUGCCAGUUGGCUUAUGGUGUGACUUUUUGUUUGUCUGAGUUGAAAUCAUAAAUACUCACUUGCUGCAUUCACAUGAUUUUAAGGUAUAUUCAGGAAGGGUUUCCCGUCACGUCCAUGAUGUCAGAAAUGAGCAAAAAGUCGAGAAUGAAUGUAUAAUAAAUCAAAGUGCAAGAAAUCAUGAUCAUGGCCGUGUGGCGGUGAGGGUUUCCAUCAAAGCCACUGUCCUCAUGGAGCACAUGUGUGUGUCAGGCAUCAUCUGCAGUGGAUUAUUGUGGUCUCGGAAUGUCUGUGGGUUGAUCCGGUCCCCACCAUUUUGUCACCAUAUGUCACCGCUUAUAGGCUUUUUGAAUAAUUGCAUCGAUGUGCAUAAACCACCAAGUAUGAAUUUCGGUUGACAAAAAACUCUUUUCUUUCUGCACUGUAUUCUGAAACAAAAUAGGGAUUCAUAGUAUUCAAAUUUGUGUUGGCCUCAGUGCAACAACCCAUUCUUCACUCCGAGAAAAUAUAGCCUGACACCCUACAUGCUUACAAUAAUACAGAGAGUGAUGCUUAUGAGCCUCAGCGCAGGCGCCUUGGUCCUGACCGCAUCAUGACGUGCCACUGAUGAAGGUAAAACUCAAACGUGUAACAUUGCCGUUAUAUAACAGUUACCAACAAAAUAAAAGAUAUUAUCAAAGUGCAUUUAUGUUCUACGGCAAAAUAAAAUAAAGCCUUUUUGUUAAUGUUAUCUCUGUUUCCCUGUAAAUACAUGGGGUCUGACUAAUAACUGGAUAACAAGCAGGUGGGUCAGGAAACUCCUGUAAUGAAACAUCAGCAAUUAGCAGCAACCUCAUGAAGCCAGAUGGGAACUGUACUGUACGCUUAAAAUGAUUGUACUCGAGGGACUUCAUCCUCUGUGUCAUGACCACGAGAACAAACGUGCAUGAAUGUGGAAAACAUAGUACAUUAAAUACAGCUGGACUUGAACACAGCACGCCUCAGUGAGAAAGUUUCAGCCUUGAAUGAGUGUUGAUCAGUGGAAGGAAAACAAAUCAACUUUCAAAUUCGAAUCACGCAUCUUUCUUCUCCUCUCUGAGCCGAUGCAUUCCACAUUGCUCGAAUGCACAUAGCAAUGCUCGGCGCUUUGGCGUCAGCACUUCUUAAAAUGGGCUGUUGCCACUGCCGCUCCAGCUGGACCUUCAGCACUUUCCCCCGUCCAACCCCCACAAAAAUCCUGGAGCGAGGAGGAGAGAUGAGAGUGGGAGGAAAAUCCGCUAAAUCCACCAAACUCAGGAAUGUAUUUUCAUUAAAACAAGUUUGUUUGAAGGGAUUGGGAAGGUGCAGGAGAGAGAGAGGCAGUAUCAGAAGUGAUCAGGCUCAAUAGCUCAAUGGCUGCGCAGUGCUACUGUACAAGUAUUAGAGGAGCAGAGAAUGGAGAUACAUUAUAUCUGCGGCGCACACAUAGGUUGGAGGCAGGCUGGAGGCUGUCGGAGGCUGUAUUUGGCUGCGGGACUUGCUAACAGGAGUUUAUCAGUCAGCCAAGGAGUAAGCUCCUGUCUCAAAUCCCUGUUUCGGUAGAUCGAGGAAUAUUGUUUCUACGUGUGUGUGCCCGCAUGUGUGUGAGCCACCUCUACCACAAGCUAAAGCCAUCAUCCUUCUACAUCUCCCAUUAUCCAGUCCACACACGUCUAGAUUUAUUUCUUGCCCUGGUCAGUCUCCAGGAGAGGUAAUUACUAACC
rnacentral:lncRNA from 1 species